UACGAAGGGGGCUAGGCGUUGUUCGGAAUCACUGGGCGUAAAGGGCGCGUAGGCGGCUUUGUAAGUCGGGGGUGAAAGCCUGUGGCUCAAGCCACACGAAUUGCCUUCGAUACUGCAUGGCUUGAGACCGGAAGAGGUAAGUGGAACUGCGAGUGUAGAGGUGAAAUUCGUAGAUAUUCGCAAGAACACCAGUGGCUGAAGGCGGCUUACUGGUCCGGUUCUGACGCUGAGGCGCGAAAGCGUGGGGAGCAACAGG
rnacentral:rRNA from 1 species